rnacentral:lncRNA from 1 species
UAACUUAUAUAAAAAAAAAAUCACCUUAACAAUUUUUGAUUUGUUUCUUUACGGUCCUUCAUUUUUUAUAAUCAUCUAUUUUCAUCUUGAAAGCCAUGAUUAAUCCUAGAAAAUAUCUUAAGUUCUUUUCAUUUAUCUAUUAAAACUAAUGUUGAAGGUAACCUUUGAAAGUACACAAGUAUUGAAUUCUUCUUAUAUCUAUAUGUUUCUUGUCAAAUAUCACUUCUACUUGAUCCAUGGUUUGAUUCUAUACCUCUUUUUGACAUGGAUUCUUUGUCUUUUCUUUAUGAAAGCCUCUCACAUCCUCUACAAACUUCUUAAAGAUACUUAUAUAAAAAAUUGGAUGCUACUUCAAUCUCUUUGAUAUGUCUAAGAU